CACUUCUCUACUGAGCCACAUCCACAGCCCUUUUUGUAUUUUAUUUAGAGACAGGGUCUCACUGAGUCGCUCAGUGCCUUGCUGUUGAACUCCCUGUCCUCCCGUCUCAGCCUCCCGAGCUGCUGGGAUUAUAGGAGUGUGCCACUGCACGCGGCUUCUACUCAUUAGGAAAAAAAAAGUAUGUGUAUACACACACACACACACACACACACACGCGUUUAGUUCUAGAUGGACACAACACCUUUAUUUUGUUUAUUUAGUUUUUUUUAGUGUGGUGCUGGGGAUCGACCCAGAGCCUUGCACAUGCUACGCCAGCGCUCCACCCCUGAGCCCCAGCCCAGCCCUCAUUCACUUGUACACCCUCUCCCCUGUGUCUGUCGGUGCGGUGCGUCACAUCUGUACAGGCACACAGUGUGACAACGCAGUUGGCCGAUGCCACUCCCUGCACUGCCCCUCCUUCCCCCACUCCACCCCUCAGUCCCUUUCCUCUGCUGACCGCCCUUUGACCUUUAGGAGGUCCUUUCCCCUCUGUAGCUUCUGCAUGUGAGAGAGAGCACAGGACCCUUGACCUUCUGCGUUUACAUGAUGGUCUCUAGAUCCCCCCAUCUUCCUAAUGCCGUGACUCCCUUCUUCUUCAUGACUGAACAAGUCUCCGUUGUAUGUACCUAUCAGAUCUUCUUUAUCAGUUCAUCCACGGAUGGACACCUAGGCUGGAUCCGGAGUGUGGCUACUGUGGGCUGUGCUGCUGUGAACACGGGUGUGUAAGGUGACUUUGAACCUUCAGGAUAGACACCGAGGGGUGGUAACCGGCCACAGGGUGGCUCCGAGCCUGGUCUCUGAGGAGCCCCAUGCUGAUUUCCGCACUGAUUCACAGUCCCACCACAGUGUGGACGUGUCCCUCUUCCUCCACACCCUCUCCAGCACUGGUCAUCCAUGUUCUUGAUGCCUGCCCUCCUGCCUGCUGUGAGAUGAGAUUGCAGUGUAGUUCUGAUCUGCACUCCCCUGGUUCUAACAGCCUUGGACAUUUUUUGUGUAUGUGUUGGCCAUUUAGAUUCUUCUUUUGAGAAGUGUCUGUCUGGUUCACUUGCCCAUUGAUUAAUUGGGUUAUUGAGUUUUUGGUGAACGGUUUCUUGGGUUCUUUAGAUAUUCUAGAUACUAAUCCUCCCUUCUGUGGGUUCUCUCUGCACAUUCCUGACUGCUUCCUUUGCUGUGCGGCAGAUCUUCUAUUUUAAAAUGAUCGAGAGUUGUGGGAAGUUUGCAAGGACAGCACAGAAUGAUCCUGUGUCCCCUUACC
rnacentral:lncRNA from 1 species